rnacentral:rRNA from 1 species
UACGGAGGAUGCAAGCGUUAUCCGGAACUAUUGGGCGUAAAGCGUCCGCAGGUGGCUGUGUAAGUCUGCUGUUAAAGAGUGAGGCUCAACCUCAUAAAAGCAGUGGAAACUACACGGCUAGAGUGCGUUCGGGGCAGAGGGAAUUCCUGGUGUAGCGGUGAAAUGCGUAGAUAUCAGGAAGAACACCGGUGGCGAAAGCGCUCUGCUAGGCCGCAACUGACACUGAGGGACGAAAGCUAGGGGAGCGAAUGGG